rnacentral:lncRNA from 1 species
GUUUUGUUUUGGCCUUGCCUGGCAAUAAAUAUUUUAAUUUUUGUUUCAUUUUUAUGAUGACAAAUAAUUUUCAAGUUUAUUUCCUUUUUGUUUGUUUGCUUAAAUACAAAGCUAAACCACAAACAGGUACAACCAAGACAUUUUAUCUCACAUUUAAAGACUCCUGUAGGAUCCUCCUCCAAUUUGCUGACCACUAACCAGGCUAUUGGGGGUGGGGGGAAGACUUUCUUAGGUAGCACCGUCAUGAGGCCCAGGAUGGGGUAAGGAUGAGGACAGGUUCUCACACCAGUCUCCAUUCAUAUUUACCUGGGACCAGGGUGGACAGGAGCCCCAGCCCCAUGGACAGAAGGUGGACAGUGAGUGAGAAUCAGACCCCUGGGGAGGGAAGAGGAAGCCAGCUACUCCUCCUGGUAUCACAUUCAAGCUGAGAACUGAGCCUUGUCCUUGCUCCCUGGCUAAGGGCCCUGCCAGCUCCAUGUGCACCAGAUGCCUUUCUUUGAGGCUGGUGGAGAUGGCUGGGUGGGAUCCUGAGCUCUAGGCUCACAAUUCAGGUUGUGGCUGCGCUUCACAGGAAGGACACCAGGUGGUCUGACAACAGGAGGCCUCACAGCAGAUCUGGAACUUUCAACCCAGCAGAACUGGGCAGGUGGGUGAGGUGAUCGGGGAAUUAUUUUUGUUUUGAAAUAAAAUUUCACCUGUCUCACAUUGUUAU